rnacentral:rRNA from 1 species
GACGAACGCUGGCGGCGCGCUUAACACAUGCAAGUCGAGCGAAGCGGCGGACGGGUGAGUAACACGUGAGUAACCUGCCUUAGACAUUGGGAUAGCCUCGGGAAACCGGGAUUAAUACCAAAUGGUCUAAGAUGGACUCGCGUCCCAUUAGCUAGUUGGUGAGGUAACGGCCCACCAAGGCGACGAUGGGUAGCCGGCCUGAGAGGGUGAACGGCCACAUUGAAACUGAGAAACGGUCCAAACUCUACGGGAGGCAGCAGUGGGGAAUAUUGCAAAAUGGAGUGAAUGCUGAUGGAGCGACGCCGGGUGAACGAAGAGGGCUGUCGAGUCGUAAAGUGCUUUUAUAUGGGAAGCGGUACCAUAAGAAAAAGCCCCGGCUAACUACGUGCCAGCAGCCGCGGUAAUUC